rnacentral:rRNA from 1 species
UACAGAGGUCCCAAGCGUUGUUCGGAUUCACUGGGCGUAAAGGGUGCGUAGGCGGUCGGGUGAGUCUGAUGUGAAAUCUCACAGCUUAACUGUGAAACUGCAUUGGAUACUAUCCGGCUCGAGGAAUGGAGGGGAGACUGGAAUACUUGGUGUAGCAGCGAAAUGCGUAGAUAUCAAGUGGAACACCAGUGGCGAAGGCGAGUCUCUGGACAUUUCCUGACGCUGAGGCACGAAAGCCAGGGGAGCAAACGGG